GUGCCAGCAGCCGCGGUAAUACGUAGGGGGCGAGCGUUGUCCGGAUUCAUUGGGCGUAAAGCGCGCGCAGGCGGUUGCGAGAGCCCGGCGUGAAAGCCCCCAGCUCAACUGGGGGAGGCCGUCGGAGACCUCGUGACUUGAGGCCGGUAGGGGAGAGCGGAAUUCCCGGUGUAGUGGUGGAAUGCGUAGAUAUCGGGAGGAACACCAGUGGCGAAGGCGGCUCUCUGGACCGGUUCUGACGCUCAGGCGCGAAAGCGUGGGGAGCGAUCCGGAUUAGAAACCCUCGUAGUCC
rnacentral:rRNA from 1 species